GACGAACGCUGGCGGCGUGCUUAACACAUGCAAGUCGAACGGAAAGGCCCUGCUUUUGUGGGGUGCUCGAGUGGCGAACGGGUGAGUAACACGUGAGUAACCUGCCCUUGACUUUGGGAUAACUUCAGGAAACUGGGGCUAAUACCGGAUAGGAGCUCCUGCUACAUGGUGGGGGUUGGAAAGUUUCGGCGGUUGGGGAUGGACUCGCGGCUUAUCAGCUUGUUGGUGGGGUAGUGGCUUACCAAGGCUUUGACGGGUAGCCGGCCUGGGAGGGUGACCGGCCCCAUUGGGACUGGGAUACGGCCCAGACCCCUACGGGGGGCAGCAGGGGGGAAUAUUGCAAAAUGGGCGGAAGCCGGAUGCAGCAACCCCGCGUGCGGGAUGACGGCCUUCGGGUUGUAAACCGCUUUCGCCUGGGACGAAGCGUGAGUGGCGGUAAUGGGUAAAGAAGCCCCGGCUAACUACGU
rnacentral:rRNA from 1 species